GUUAUCAAGAAAGGUGGAGGGAAUAGACCCGAAGAAGCCUUAGCAACCCUUAAGCAAUUUAAGAAGGUGCUAAAUUCUACUUAAUUUUC
rnacentral:ncRNA from 1 species